CUGUGAGCUCGAUGAGUAGGGCGGGACACGUGGUAUCCUGUCUGAAUAUGGGGGGACCAUCCUCCAAGGCUAAAUACUCCUGACUGACCGAUAGUGAACCAGUACCGUGAGGGAAAGGCGAAAAGAACCCCGGCGAGGGGAGUGAAAAAGAACCUGAAACCGUGUACGUACAAGCAGUGGGAGCACGCUUCGGCGUGUGACUGCGUACCUUUUGUAUAAUGGGUCAGCGACUUAUAUUCUGUAGCAAGGUUAACCGAAUAGGGGAGCCGAAGGGAAACCGAGUCUUAACUGGGCGUUAAGUUGCAGGGUAUAGACCCGAAACCCGGUGAUCUAGCCAUGGGCAGGUUGAAGGUUGGGUAACACUAACUGGAGGACCGAACCGACUAAUGUUGAAAAAUUAGCGGAUGACUUGUGGCUGGGGGUGAAAGGCCAAUCAAACCGGGAGAUAGCUGGUUCUCCCCGAAAGCUAUUUAGGUAGCGCCUCGUGAAUUCAUCUCCGGGGGUAGAGCACUGUUUCGGCAAGGGGGUCAUCCCGACUUACCAACCCGAUGCAAACUGCGAAUACCGGAGAAUGUUAUCACGGGAGACACACGGCGGGUGCUAACGUCCGUCGUGAAGAGGGAAACAACCCAGACCGCCAGCUAAGGUCCCAAAGUCAUGGUUAAGUGGGAAACGAUGUGGGAAGGCCCAGACAGCCAGGAUGUUGGCUUAGAAGCAGCCAUCAUUUAAAGAAAGCGUAAUAGCUCACUGGUCGAGUCGGCCUGCGCGGAAGAUGUAACGGGGCUAAACCAUGCACCGAAGCUGCGGCAGCGACACUAUGUGUUGUUGGGUAGGGGAGCGUUCUGUAAGCCUGUGAAGGUGUACUGUGAGGUAUGCUGGAGGUAUCAGAAGUGCGAAUGCUGACAUAAGUAACGAUAAAGCGGGUGAAAAGCCCGCUCGCCGGAAGACCAAGGGUUCCUGUCCAACGUUAAUCGGGGCAGGGUGAGUCGACCCCUAAGGCGAGGCCGAAAGGCGUAGUCGAUGGGAAACAGGUUAAUAUUCCUGUACUUGGUGUUACUGCGAAGGGGGGACGGAGAAGGCUAUGUUGGCCGGGCGACGGUUGUCCCGGUUUAAGCGUGUAGGCUGGUUUUCCAGGCAAAUCCGGAAAAUCAAGGCUGAGGCGUGAUGACGAGGCACUACGGUGCUGAAGCAACAAAUGCCCUGCUUCCAGGAAAAGCCUCUAAGCAUCAGGUAACAUCAAAUCGUACCCCAAACCGACACAGGUGGUCAGGUAGAGAAUACCAAGGCGCUUGAGAGAACUCGGGUGAAGGAACUAGGCAAAAUGGUGCCGUAACUUCGGGAGAAGGCACGCUGAUAUGUAGGUGAAGCGACUUGCUCGUGGAGCUGAAAUCAGUCGAAGAUACCAGCUGGCUGCAACUGUUUAUUAAAAACACAGCACUGUGCAAACACGAAAGUGGACGUAUACGGUGUGACGCCUGCCCGGUGCCGGAAGGUUAAUUGAUGGGGUUAGCGGUAACGCGAAGCUCUUGAUCGAAGCCCCGGUAAACGGCGGCCGUAACUAUAACGGUCCUAAGGUAGCGAAAUUCCUUGUCGGGUAAGUUCCGACCUGCACGAAUGGCGUAAUGAUGGCCAGGCUGUCUCCACCCGAGACUCAGUGAAAUUGAACUCGCUGUGAAGAUGCAGUGUACCCGCGGCAAGACGGAAAGACCCCGUGAACCUUUACUAUAGCUUGACACUGAACAUUGAGCCUUGAUGUGUAGGAUAGGUGGGAGGCUUUGAAGUGUGGACGCCAGUCUGCAUGGAGCCGACCUUGAAAUACCACCCUUUAAUGUUUGAUGUUCUAACGUUGACCCGUGAUCCGGGUUGCGGACAGUGUCUGGUGGGUAGUUUGACUGGGGCGGUCUCCUCCUAAAGAGUAACGGAGGAGCACGAAGGUUGGCUAAUCCU
rnacentral:rRNA from 1 species